rfam:Pantoea sp. AS1 6__len__215339, whole genome shotgun sequence.
GUCAAUACUACGUCCCGCAGCGGUAGAAAGUAAACGAUGACCCACAGGGAACUCUGAGUUAAAAUACGUAUCAAAAUGCAAAACCACUUUCUGGCCUGGAACCUUUUCCGGGUCAGGAUUCUUUU